rnacentral:rRNA from 1 species
UACGUAGGGUGCAAGCGUUAAUCGGAAUACUGGGCGUAAGCGUGCGCAGGCGGUGAUGUAAGACAGGUGUGAAAUCCCCGGGCUUAACCUGGGAACUGCAUUUGUGACUGCAUCGCUGGAGUGCGGCAGAGGGGGAUGGAAUUCCGCGUGUAGCAGUGAAAUGCGUAGAUAUGCGGAGGAACACCGAUGGCGAAGGCAAUCCCCUGGCCUGCACUGACGCUCAUGCACGAAGCGUGGGA